rnacentral:lncRNA from 1 species
GGUGGGUUGGUGGUGGGCUUUUGUCCAUCUUCUUUAUGAGAUCCAUAAGAUAGUUCCAUGAUUCUAGGGGAGGGCAGACAUGAGACAACCUGAAGAAACAUCAAGCACAGCCUCAGGAAUAAAAUGUGAAAUUUCUAAGGGUCCAAAAUAAUCUGCAGGAUUCCUCAGGCUGCCUAGACAUUGUCAUGGCAAUCCACAGUGACCCUCAUUGGCAAUACUGGACACUGUUUUCAAGCAUGUCAUCGCAAAAGACGUCCUCUGAGACACUGUCUGAACCUGAUAUACACCUGUGAGAGGCGAGUCUGUGGUGUGAAAACACUGUUCCAACUUGCUCUUGCUAUUGUCAUGGCUCCUGCCUUUCCCAGAGGGCCACUGCAAGGCCCAGGAGGAAGAGAGGCAGUGAGGUCAAGAGCCCAGCCAUUGUUUGCUGAUGUCAGCCUCUGGGUCUCAGGAAUGGAGUCAGAAGAUCAGUGACCAACUCACAGCCUCCAAAUGCCUCCUUCUUCAGCGGAACCCGACCACAGACAUGACACAAAAGGGUCUUGAGGCAGGAUGAGAGUUCUGAAAUCCAGGCACCUGAGCCUGCAUGAUGGAUGCAUUUGUGCCAGCCUCAGGGCACCAGGCCUGAUGGUGAGCUCUGACCACCAUCAUAAUGAAUGUCAUCAUUGCCUAGUGACAAGUCCAGGCGGCUUGGCAGAGAAGACAUCCGUGGAGGUGAGUCGGUGGUGAAUUCUCGCUUGUCUUCUCUGAGGGAUCUACGACAUACUCUCAUGAUUCCAGGAUAGGGCAGAUGUGAGCCAGCCUGAAGAAACGUGAAGCACAGAUUCAUGA